rnacentral:rRNA from 1 species
CUCCACAAUGGGCGAAAGCCUGAUGGAGCGACGCCGCGUGAGGGAUGAAGGCCUUAGGGUUGUAAACCUCUAAAAGAGGGACGAUAAUGACGGUACCUCUUGAAUAGCACCGGCUAACUCCGUGCCAGCAGCCGCGGUAAUACGGAGGGUGCAAGCGUUAUCCGGAAUCACUGGGCGUAAAGGGCGCGUAGGCGGUCUGUUAAGUCCGAUGUUAAAUCCCGGGGCUCAACCCCGGAUAAGCGUUGGAUACUGGCAGGCUAGACGGUUGGAGAGUCUAGUUGAAUUACCAGUGUAGCGGUGGAAUGCGUAGAUACUGGUAGGAACACCCAU